UUUUUUUUCUUUUUUUUUCAAAUUUAAAUAAUUGAUGAUUAAAUUUUUAUUAUUUUAAUUAAAAUAAUUUUAAAAAAAUAAAAUUAUCGUUCAAAUAACUAUUUUUUAAAUUAGGCUAAAUUAAGGAAAAUAUCUUUAUAAAUACCCCUUUUUUUUACUUUUUCCCACAACUUUUAAAAGUCUACAUUUACCUCCCUCAAUAUUUCAAGCUAUUACAUUUAUCCCACUCUAUCAAGGUUCCAUCACUAUUCCAUUCAUUUCUUAUAAUUUAUACCAAAAAUAUCUUUCAAAAUGAUAGUAAUAUAUUAAAAAAUAUAUUUUCCUUAUAGACGAAGGAGGCGAAACUUGGUCAUUUUGUCCUCUCUAUUAACGCCGUACACAUCUGAAAAUAUUUCUAAAAUUUUAAGCGAGCAAGAUAUAAAUUUUUAAAAGUCAGAGAGAGAAAGCAAAAAACGAAUAUUUACAAUAAAAUUUUAUGUAUUUUUGCCUUUAAAUUAUAUAUAUAGUAGGUCUUGUGUGCUAUUAGCAGCACGGGGGUCUCCGUGCUCCUAAGCCGUUUUCGAUGAUCGAGCUUUUGAACCGACGAUCGGCUCUGUUAGACUUAAUUUAGUAUAUUUGAACUAUAUAGAAAAUAAAUUUUGCGAUUUUUCGAUAUCAUUUACCUAGCGAUCAAAAGGAUUUAAAAUUAACAAUUUUUAAUGGUUGAUGUAUAUCAUUUGCAAGUUUAACAGUGUAAAAGUAUUCAAAUCAGAUAAAAUUUUUGAUAAAAAAUUCUUUAUACUAUUUGCAGCAAGAUCAGUAUUUCUGAUCAAAAAUUUUAAUGCUAUAUCACCACUGGGGAGGUCGCGCGGUGUCGGUCAGAACCUUCACGGUGAGUCGCCGAGCCACGCCCACGCUGCUGG
rnacentral:lncRNA from 1 species